GCUGGCGGCAUGCCUAACACAUGCAAGUCGAACGAAGCCUUCGGGCUUAGUGGCGCACGGGUGCGUAACGCGUGGGAAUCUGCCCUGGGUUCGGAAUAACAGUUAGAAAUGACUGCUAAUACCGAAUGAUGUCUUCGGACCAAAGAUUUAUCGCCCAAGGAUGAGCCCGCGUCGGAUUAGCUAGUUGGUGAGGUAAAGGCUCACCAAGGCGACGAUCCGUAGCUGGUCUGAGAGGAUGAUCAGCCACACUGGGACUGAGACACGGCCCAGACUCCUACGGGAGGGCAGCAGUGGGGGAAUAUUGGACAAUGGGCGAAAGCCUGAUCCAGCAAUGCCGCGUGAGUGAUGAAGGCCUUAGGGUUGUAAAGCUCUUUUACCCGGGAUGAUAAUGACAGUACCGGGUGAAUAAGCCCCGGCUAACUCCGUG
rnacentral:rRNA from 1 species